UAAAAACUUAGUUUUACAUACUAACACUGCCUUUUGUGUAUAUUUAAACAGAACAAAUGGUAAUUUAUUAUGUUCUCCAGAAACUGAUUUUGCAACAUUGCUAAACUAGCAGACUGGAGAGAUGCUCACAAUUCUCAGAUGAUAUGAGUGUUUCUCUGCAUGGGCAUCAGAGCUGCCACUGCUUGACAUUCCAAGAACUUCCCAGCUACAGGUUCAUCACCUUCUCCUCCCAGGAAAGACAUGUGAGAUUCUGCACAGAGACAGGAAUGUCGUGCCAAAGAGCCUGAAGUCAUGCCAGUGGUGGAGUGCUGAUUGGAACAGACUGGGUUUGGAUGACAUCUCUACUCAUCUGUAAUGGAAGCUGUGUCAAAGCUGGGGGAUGCCAGCUGCCAUAUUGUGAAGACCCUCAAGCAUCCCUGUGGAGAGGUCCCCAUGGCACAGAAAUGGACUCUCAGCCCAAAAGCCAACAAAGAACCAAGGCCUCAAGCCAGCAGCCAUGGGAAUGGGAAUGUGCCAUCUUGGAAGCCAAUCCUGCAGCCCCAGUCAAGCCUUCAGAUGACAGUAGCCCCAGCCAAUAUCUUCACUGGAUCUUACUGAGAGACUAUGUGCCAGCAUGACCCUACUAAACAACUCUCAAAUUUCUGACCCUCAGAAAUUGUGUGAGAUAAUAAUUGUUUUUUGUUUUAAUAUGCUAAGCUUUAGGUUUGUUUGUUACUCCAAAUUAGACAACUAAUUCAGAAUGCAAUAUAUACACUCAGCCAGGUCAACUCCUCUGCUUCUUGAUGCCUGGGGAGAGUGGAGAGAGUGAUGGAUCCCCAUUAUUAUUGCACCCAGGGUACACUGGUCUGGGUUUAGAAUGUCUUGUGCUUUUUCAACCUUCUGUUCCCACAUUUCUCAGUAGUAUGUAUAUUAAACUCUCUUCAGUAACCCACUUUGAGUCUGCCAUUUUUUCCUGUUAGGUUCCCACCUGAAGUGGCUGCCAUGUAACAUCUACACAAACUCCAGCAAGUGGUGGUGGUAUCACCUGUGCUGUGAAUACCUCCCAGUGCAACCAUGCCUAUCACAUUGGAUGAUGCCAUUCAGAGCUGCUAGUGUCAGCAAAGCCAGGCUCCAGUGUCACCAGGGUGGUUUGCCUGCAUCACAGGUUCUUCGCCGACAUCACCAAUGGCUGUGCUGCCCAGGCUUUGCUCUCUCCAGUGCUCCUUUGAUAUUUGCGCGCCCCCCACCUCCUCCUAGGACUCAGAAGUAAGUCAUGUGAGAUGUGCGGGAAAGGAGCCAAGAGAAGGGCAAUUAGAAUCACCCUGAAGCAAAUUUGUCUUUCCAGGAUGUCCUGCCCAGGGCUUUACUGGGGUCUCACAUGAAUAGCUCUUGGCAGUGCCCCAGUGCACUAGAAAUGCUUAUAAAUUCCUGAAUCCCAAUGUGAACAGAGUUUGGGUCAGUCUGGACCCUUGCUU
rnacentral:lncRNA from 1 species